UAGGGAAUAUCGGACAAUGGGGGCAACCCUGAUCCAGCCAUGCCGCGUGAGUGAAGAAGGCCCUCGGGUUGUAAAGCUCUUUUGUCCGGAAAGAAAAGCUUCGGGUUAAUACCCCGGGGUUCUGACGGUACCGGAAGAAUAAGCACCGGCUAACUUCGUGCCAGCAGCCGCGGUAAUACGAAGGGUGCAAGCGUUACUCGGAAUUACUGGGCGUAAAGCGUGCGUAGGUGGUUGUUUAAGUCUGAUGUGAAAGCCCUGGGCUCAAGCUGGGAAUGGCAUUGGAAACUGGGCAGCUAGAGUGCGGUAGAGGGUAGUGGAAUUCCCGGUGUAGCAGUGAAAUGCGUAGAGAUCGGGAGGAACAUCUGUGGCGAAGGCGACUGCCUGGACCAGCGCUGACACUGAGGCACGAAAGCGUGGGGAGCAAACA
rnacentral:rRNA from 1 species